UCGAUAGCAAUAGCAAGCCAGUCUCGCAUGCCAGUUACAGCGUAAGUACGUUAUUAUCCCGGAAACCAUUCUAUGCCCUUUAUAAAGUAUAAAGCUCUCUUGCAAGGAUCAGUACCAGUUUGAACUGAAUCCCUUUCAGCUUUUCUAGUUCCGCACCUCCUCCAUUUAGUGCACGAGUCCACUGUUGAAGCAAGUCCCCAGUGUCCCAUGGAAUCCAAUGAACUAGAUCCGAAAGUUUCAGUGGGAAACCCGAGGGCGGAAGCGGUUAAUUGAGUCAGAGUUUUCCCGCAACCGCAAGCAAGUUCCUUAGUCAAGUGUCAAUUCCCGAACGCUAGAAAUCCAAUAAGCCCAGCCCUACCAACAAACAUCCAAUCAAACCUGGACGGCAAGCAUCUUGUUAGCCAGAAAGUGCCGUAAAGGGAAGUCCCUCAACCAAACGCGGGUGUGUUAAGCCUUCUAUUCUAACAUGAAAGAGAAGACGGGUUAGGAAAGCCAGCUCCAGUGGACCAGAGCCAGUGAGUGGUGACGGACAAAGCGGGGGCGAAGGAAGGUAUAAAUAAGAUCGCGAAGUCGAUAGAGUCAGGAGAGAUGAUAAUUGAGAUCGAUCAAGGCUAUAGGAAGGUUGGACCUGUAAAAUUAGUUAUCUAGAAAGCCAGUUCCCUCGCCCUAUAUUUGUUUGGAAUGGACUUGCUUCGCUCCAUUUUCAGAACCAGUGAGGAUAGAGUUUCCGGGUAGAUGGGAAUUUGAUCUAAGCUGUAGUCCUAGUCCCAUCGCAAGUUUCCCGCCUGUGAGCUAGUUAACGGCCCUUUGUACCAGUGAUAAUUGCGAGGUGCCGAUAUGGAAUCACUCUUUUGAAGACUAAACGGCGGGAUUGAGCCUUUACCUUUCUUUGGGCUUUAUCUUUUUAUGUAGUUUAAGAUAGAACUUUUACCCAAUUAUGUACUUUUUUUGUAGAAAAGCGAGUACCUCGUUAUAUAAAAAAGGAAAGUUCAGGGAAGUUAUCUAAGCCCAGCCCUAGCCCGAUAUUCUAGUAUGGUAAGGGGGCGUAAGCGGCUUGAUGUUCUGUUAAAGAUAGGGCUUUCAAAUUAAGCUAGCCCAAAAGCAAGAUCAAGAAGGGUUAGUUUCAUUUCCCACUUUCUCUUUAACUGAGGAAUAUACCUUUGAUAACAAACCUAUAAAGUCCAAACCCGGCCUAAGACUGGAGCAAGAAGCAAGCAAACCAGGGUCGAUGCUCAUUUUGCUGUAUUUAUUAUUGGUCUGCACUCUAGCUAACUCGGGUAUACUAUACUUGUUGACUAGACUGGACUGGAGCUGGGCGGCUAUACGCUUUGGCUUUGGGCUAUUGACUAUUGAAGAGGUGCGAAGCGUAGUGAAUCAGCUGCCAUCAUCUCCAAUGGCCAUUUAUCUUAACUCAAUCGUGAGUUUUAGGUCUCGUGUGAGGUGUGACAUUAAGGGGCUUUAGCCUAUUGAAAACCAGGCCUAUUGAACCUUGCUCGGAAGUCAAAACCCUUCGCAACGCUUGGAAGGGGAAGGGUCAAGUCUUUCUGGCUAGUGCCGAGACCUUUUAUAAGCAAGCGCUAGUGAAAUGAAAGUCAGAACUAAAAGCGAGCCCAGAAGAGCGAGUGGACAAAGCCUGCCCUUCNNN
rnacentral:lncRNA from 1 species